UGCUUCCAAUGGCAAAAAUGGUGAUUCUAUUAUUUGAUGACAAAGUAGGACUCCAACAGAAGAUAUGGAGUUGGACCAGGGUGUUGGAGAAGCUUUUAAGAAGGAAUCUCUCUCAUCCUCUCUUGAGGAUAAACCUUCAGCUUAAUUUUAAUCUCUUCCUGUUGCCACGCAUUGAUGUUGCAACAAUGUCCCAUCACAUCAUUGGGUUUCUAUUCAGUUGGCAGUUUCAAAGUUGUCUUUCUAUGGCAGUGGUGCUUAUGUUAUUGAUCUUUAUCCUUUUUCUCAACAUUAUCAUGAUCUGGGUUCAUAGUAUUGGUUCUUUACUUCAUCUUAUCUGAUUCCUGAAGCAUGAAGUUAUCUAUUGCUCAACAGAUGCUUUGAUUUCUCAACUUUUUUAUCAGUAUCUUCACUUUCUUAAUUAUUUCAUUCAUACUUAUCUUUCUUAUACUUUGACACCUAUUUCUGAUUUCAUCUAUAAAAACCUUUCUAUCACAUCUUUUCUUCAAUACCCUUUUCUGUUCUUCUUUAUUUUUUUCUUUGCUCCUUUAAUGGCUAGACCUAAUAUGCACAAUAUUACUCAGCAAAUGGAGGAUACUUCUAUAAGUGAAGAACCUAUUAGAAGAGGGUUUUUGCUCAUUCUAAUACUGCUAUAUUUACUGGAAUCAGAGAAUGGAGAUUUAGUUUAGCUGGUAAACUUUAUGCUCCUGGUAUUAUGAUUUGGCGGGAUGCUGACAGAGCUGCAAGAUUUAUUUGGCCUCAUCUUCGUCGACAUAAUCAAUGGUGUGUUCAGGUACGCAGUCUAGAACCAAAUAUAUUUGUAAUCAAGUUUCAAGAUUCAGAUGACAAAGAUGCAAUUCUAUUUGGUGGAGGAUGGAACUUUGAUGGUCAUCUGAUUGUCUUAAAGGAUUGGAAUCCAACUAUGGAUUAUCACUUGUUAGAUUUUUCUGUUUCCCCUUACUGGCUUGAGUACAAAUACCUUUUACUUGAGUUUACAUAUGCUGACAUUUUGAGAAUGUUUGGUAGCAUAGUUGGGGAUGUUAGAGUUGUUGAACCUGAUGGAAUAAAUCCUCCAACUUCUUCUAAAUAUAGAGCCUUAGUUCUUAUCAGUGUUAACACUCCUUUAAUAACUGGUAUUACAACUGCAAGUGCUGCUGGUGUUACUAGAUGGAAGACAUGAGAUGGAAGAAAUUGUUCGUGGUUUUGGUUUUGCGGAACCCAUAUUACCUCCUCAGAGAAACCCCCAGCAAGGAGCUCAUCUUUUCUUACAGCAUGGCUCUCAGCGUAGGUCCAGGUUAAGACAACCCGCAUCUCAAGAACAACCUCGACCUUUUGAUGGUAUGCAUAUUUCUCUAUUCUCGGCUACUGACUCAUAAGCAGAAUCUUCCUCUUCUCAUCAUCAACAAUCUCAUCAGUCUUCUACUUUGUUUAGUGAUGGUGCAAGUACUAGCGGAACUAAAAAAAGAUAUCAGCGAGUUCCUACUUUGGUUAUUACCAAUGAGCCUAAUAUCUAUGAUGAUGCCACAAAUAAUGUCACUACUAAUAUGGAAUAAAUUGCCUCUGUUCAAGAUGAUAACUCUGCAAAUUCUCAUGAUUCUGUAUGGGACAUUGCUGCGGCUAUUGCUUUCAAUGCUCAAAACCACACUGAUGCAUGGCAACAGAUAAUACCAGUCUUAUUCGCUUACCUGAUGCACAAGAAAUCAAAGAAGUUGUUUUCCAGAUCAGACCUUGGGCUUCGCCGGACAAUGAUGGUUUUCAGGCUGCUUUCUACCAACAAUGCUUGAGUACUAUUAGCUCUGAGGCAAUUUCUAUGGUUCAACAUUUCUUUAACCAUAAACAUAUGCUUAAAGCUAUCAAUCAUACCUACCAAGUUUUGAUUCCUAAAAUACC